UCCUCAGUAGCUCAGUGGUAGAGCGACCGGCUGUUAACCGGUUGGUCGUAGGUUCAAGUCCUACCUGGGGAG
rnacentral:tRNA from 1 species